UGUGUGAUCAGAUUCUGUUCUGUUAAAGAGUGGAAAGGUAAAUAAUAUUCUUCCGGUUUGUGUAAAAUGUUACUGAGCAUAACAUAUUAAUAAGCUUAAUAUACUUUGUAGGUGCUUACUCCAUAUCUAGCGGGUAUAAUUCAACCCAUAUCCUGCUCAACCCAACACUCGAUUUUAUUGAGGAGUUCAAAGCAAGUCUCCCUGAUGAUUCACUUGCUCUUACGAACAACGAUAGUAGCCAAUGGUCUGUUGGUACUGCUACUUCUAUUCGUGCCAGGUUUUUUGUUCUUAAUGAGAGGCUAACCAUCGGAGAGAUCAUUGAUAGCUCUGUGGUUGGCACUUUUGUUACUCUUGGGACCAUUGAAACAAUUGAUACUGAACGUGGCUGGCAAUAUCUAAGUUGCAAAUACCACAACAAAAAAAGUGAUGCCUACAACCAAUGUUGAUGCUGAUGACCGGCCCUUGUUCUUCUGCAAUACGUGUGACAAAGAACACAGUGAUGUUAUUUCCAGGUUCAAAUUAAUUGCCAAUGUCAAGGACGAUAGCGGUGAGGCUAAUUUUCUGUUGUUUGAUGCUAAUGCUCAAGCAAUUGUGCGUCAUUCUGCAGCUGAACUCUAUGACGAGGUUCAUUUUUAAAUUCCA